rnacentral:lncRNA from 1 species
UUUUUUUUUUUUUGUAACAAACAUUACAUGAUGAAUUGGUUUCAGUGGAAUUCAAACGAUCUUGCUUUGGUUAUUUCUUAUCAGGAAUGCUGAAUUUUUUUUCUAGGAGUGAUGGCAGAACUGAAGGGGAGAAGGGGAGGCAUCUCUUGUGAGUCAAUUUAGCAAAAAAGGAAAUGGUGAAAUGAUCUUAAAUUAUUCCUGGGAAUAUAUUCUGGGUACUAAAGGGCACGUUGGUACUCUCAAAGAAUGGACACUUCCAGUUUUACCCAGUAAACCUCUGGUUGUAGCUUAGGGCAACUUCCUUACUGUUUUUAUAUUUGCUGUCCAUAGAUAAGAGCUUCUGAAGGUCAUGGCACCCUUAGGCUCCCAUUAGCUGGGUGGGGGAAGUUCUUUAAUAUUUACCUAGUGUGCACAGCAUGCCAGGAACUCUACAGCAGAUAUAUGAAACAUGCCCAGCCUCUAGCUUGGACUGAGGAGGGAAGACGUCCCUGGAGGUGAGGUGUACCCUCUGCUCAUUCCAACUUCUGGAGUUUCUGGGGGAUACCCUAAGGGAUCAUAGCCAUCUUCAUCCAGUGUCUACACUACCCACCAUGGAAGUAUGUUUGUAUAAUACAGGCUGAGUCAGUCACAUGUUGAAAAGAUACACUUUACUUCUUGGAAUAUUCUUGGAACAAUUUAAUUGCAUUUUGCCCCAAGACAAACUUGCUCAGAUAUAUUUCUUUUUGAUCCACACCUUGCCCUCCUCCACCUACCCCCCCCCCCCUUGGUAUAAAGCCCUCAUGUUUCUCUUCAUCUGCUCUAAACCCUCUCUGGGGAAAUUCUGCAUUUUAUUUUGGAGGUAUUCUUUUAUUCCAGAUAAAUGUCCAGGAAUAUAAAAAAAAAAAAAUGAAGUGAGCAAGGUACAAAAUGUAAAAAGCCCUCUUAUCCAAGAAUGAAAUGGGGAGUGGUGAAGACUGGGAUGAACUCCUAAGGCAGUUUCUAGUUAAAUCUCUGGCUAAUUGAAAAAUAAUAUUAAGUAUGGAACUCGUUUGUUUAGCCAAACAACGAAAAUAAAAGUGGAUGCAGUGCUCAUGAUAUAAGAAAACUUAUUUUUGUGGAGAUAGGGAUCCCUGGGUGGCUGAGUGGUUUAGAGUCUGCCUUUGGCCCAGGGCAUGAUCCUGGAGUCCUGGGAUCGAGUCCCACGUCGGGCUCCCUGCAUGGAGUCUGCUUCUCCCUCUGCCUGUGUCUCUGC